rnacentral:rRNA from 1 species
AUUGAACGCUGGCGGCAUGGCUAAAACAUGCAAGUCGAACGCGAAAGGGGGGCAACCCCAAGUAGAGUGGCGUAAGGGCGAGUAAUGCAUUUCUAACGUACCUCAGACUCGAGGAUAGCUCACCGAAAGGUGAAUUAAUACUCGAUGAUGUUCACGGGUUGUAUGACCUGUGUACCAAAGGCUUGCUGGUCUGAGAGCGGGGAAUGUCCUAUCAGGUAGUUGGUGAGGUAACGGCUCACCAAGCCUAUGACGGGUAGCGGGUGUGAGAGCACGACCCGCCGCAUCGGAACUGAGACACGGCCCCCACUCCUACGGGAGGCAGCAGCAAGGAGUUUUCCGCAAUGGGCGAAAGCCUGACGGAGCAACGCCGCGUGUGGGAUGACGCCCUUCGGGGUGUAAACCACUUUUCUUGGGGACGAAGCAGUGACGGUACCCGAGGGAAGAAGGCCCGGCUAACUACGUGCCAGCAGCCGCGGA